UAUUCUAAGUCAAGGACAGAUAUAUUUACACAAUUAAAUUAAACAACAGACUAUUUACAAAUUACAUUUCAACACACACCAUAUAGGCAGACACAAACACACAUAUACAGGCGCAUACACACACUGUCACACACACACAAAGGCAUGACUUUCCACUUGAUUUGAUUAUCUAAACAGGUCAAUCUAAUGUAUUCAUCUUAACAUUCUUGAAGAAAGUGCAAGAAGUGUAGUUGCAGUGUAAUAGCGUGGGCCACGGUAAAACAUAUUUGGCGCUAAAUACAGGAAUCAAGGUCAGUAGCCUUGACAUAGUUCUAAUCAAAGGAUCAACCAUGUAUAAUAAACAUGACAUCUACAUUAAGGCAACGUAUCCCCCACGCCAUCGGUUCACUGGCAUUUUGAACGGUACCUCGUUUAUUACUUAUCAAGACCAUUCCUAUAAAAGCAACGCACCAUCUGCCACCCUCACAUGAAAUGUGGACGGGAAAUAUUCAACAGGAUUUGGCUGAGUAUACACUUCCUAAUAAUGUGUUGUGUAUUCCUACGGAUUUCAAUGCUUGUCCAAUCCACAAGUGGUAUAACAUAUACUUUUCUGUGUGUUUUCACUGGAACUUCAUGUACGAAGAAAAAUGGACAAAUGAAGACCUAUUGCAAAUCACUGGCAAGGUCCGACAAGUUAUCUGUUUGCCGAGGGUGAGAAUGGAUUUGCUGGCUGAGAUGAGAAGCAAGCCUGAGAGUCCUGCAAAGCCAUCUCUACAUUCUUCUCCCCAUCCAGUCUUCACGCUUAAAGACAAAAGUUGGGGGUGUCAGAUCUAGUUCCACUCUGCCCAUAUGGGAGUUGUGCUUUUCUGCUUGAUAGAAACACAACAUGACAUGUGCACAUUUUGCCGCCAACAUGACUUUUUAAGUGGGCCUGAACUAUAAUAUUUUGGAUAAAAUCUUGCCAGCACACGAUUUAAUGAUGCUGUUGACAUCUAUCUAAGUGGUGUAUGACGUUGUUUUUAGUGUUCUGCAGAAUACGCUGCAUUCCAAAUGGAGUGUGCAAUACCUGCUCAGGGCCACUGACUGCCUUUGGGGCUCAAAUGGAGGGCUGGCAUUGGACACCACACUGCAGAGUUCCAGGGUUCAUCCACAUUGUGUAGGCGUAUUGUGUAGGGAGAUGUAUCACCCCUGGUGCAUGUCUCACUCUCCACUCUUUGUGACUGCAUGGGAUCCAGUGCUGCUGGCGUUCUGCUGAGCAAUGCAGGGUUCAGAAUCCACCUCGAGUCGGUGCUGCUGAGCUGAAAGGUGUAGUUGUCAGCACUGAACUCUGUCUCUAAGCUCAAUGUUUCAGGCAAGUUGUGGGACAUGUUUUCACCAUUUUGUGAGAAAAACAUGAGGUGUUUUGUUCGUCCUGGAAAUGGGUAUUGCAGUUUCCACAUGCUGUGCUGCCAUGUCAAUUAACAUUUUCUUAGCAGUGGUGUUUUUCUCAUUUUGGGGAAAUUCCAACUCAUUGGUAUUUUACAAUAUCUAUCAUUCACAUAUGAACCUGGUUAUAAUGUGGUUGUGAUAUGCUGUGUUGGCACAUGCUGUCUCCACAUGCUGUGUUGCCAUUUCAAUAAACGUUU
rnacentral:lncRNA from 1 species